AAAGCAAAACUCAAGAGACAAACGUACCUUUUGUUUACCAGAAACUAUGAUAGCACCAUUGUAUGAGAGGCCUUCAGUGCCAUUUCUGUUUUCAAAGUCAUCUACUUCCAAAAGUAUAUUUUGAUGCUUCAAAGACUGUAUAAAAUCUUCAAUAUUUGAUUCUAUAAGGAUAUCAAUAACAAAAGGCCAUAUAAAGGUUCAUGAAGACCUCAUUCAGAGUUGACAUGGAGAUGUCAUAACUCAUCAUACCCUGGCCAGAACACUUAUCAAUAUCACUGAAAAGGUCUAAAGCAACAGACAAGAAAAUAUACAUUCUUGAAAACAUCAGUAGCUAAACCUAGUAAAUUAGCACUUAUCUGAAAUAUGUAUAAUAUUGUUCAUAAAAUGUAUGCUUUUAGGUUAUUGUCAUCAUCAAAAGCAAAAUUCUAUUGAAAGGCUCAUAAUCUCUGAGUCUGCAGACUUGUUCUUCAAACGGCCUCUCUGUAUCUUCAACCCAUAGUUUACAAAUAUCCUGAAGACCUCUUGAAAAAAAAUAUGAGCAAUCAGGAAGACCAUUAUUUCCUCACCUCACACUAUAAAUUCAAAUAUACCUCUUUCUAAA